rnacentral:rRNA from 1 species
UGUGUAACAACUCACCUGCCGAAUCAACUAGCCCCGAAAAUGGAUGGCGCUAAAGCGCGCGACCCACACCCGGCCAUCUGGGCGAGCGCCAUGCCCCGAUGAGUAGGAGGGCGCGGCGGCCGCUGCAAAACCUGGGGCGCGAGCCCGGGCGGAGCGGCCGUCGGUGCAGAUCUUGGUGGUAGUAGCAAAUAUUCAAAUGAGA